rnacentral:rRNA from 1 species
AGACCCUGGUUGAUCCUGCCAGAGGCCACUGCUAUCGGGGUCCGACUAAGCCAUGCGAGUCGAGAGGGUUCGGCCCUCGGCGCACGGCUCAGUAAAACGUGGACAACCUGCCCUCGGGUGGGGGAUAACCCCGGGAAACUGGG